rnacentral:rRNA from 1 species
AACGCGAAGAACCUUACCUACCCUUGACAUGUACCGAACCCUGCUGAGAGGCGGGGGUGCCCGAAAGGGAGCGGUAACACAGGUGCUACAUGGCUGUCGUCAGCUCGUGUCGUGAGAUGUUGGGUUAAGUCCCGCAACGAGCGCAACCCUUGUCACUAGUUGCUACGCAAGGGCACUCUAGUGAGACCGCCGGUGACAAACCGGAGGAAGGUGGGGAUGACGUCAAGUCCUCAUGGCCCUUAUGGGUAGGGCUUCACACGUCAUACAAUGGCGCAUACAGAGGGCUGCCAACCCGCGAGGGGGAGCCAAUCCCAGAAAGUGCGUCGUAGUCCGGAUUGUUCUCUGCAACUCGAGAGCAUGAAGUCGGAAUCGCUAGUAAUCGCGGAUCAGCAUGUCGCGGUGAAUACGUUCCCGGGUCUGUACACACCA